rnacentral:lncRNA from 1 species
UAACUCAUCAUCAGUGAAAGUGAUUCUAUUUGCUUCAAAUAUUCUAUGAACCAUCCUUUCUAUUUGACAUACCGUAGUUUCCUUCGGGACGUAUGCUUCAUUCAACAACUUAAUCAAUCCCUGACUAUGUUCUUUAGAAUGUAGCAGCAGGGAUAAUAAUGAUAUUUGAACCGGGGUUUUCCUCAAUUGAUCGAUAAUGGAAUAGUCUUGGGUUUUCAUUUUCUUCAGAAAUUCCUCGGCCUCUUCAUUUGUGACAGGUGUUUUCAUUGGCCCUUGACUAUCUUUAAACUGUUUUGGUCUCCUUAAUUCUUCUGGAACAU